rnacentral:tRNA from 1 species
UCUUGAUUGGUCUAGUGGUAAGGAUACCUGCUUGUCAUGUACAAGCCGCAGGUGGCCGGGGUUCGAUUCCCCGAUCGAGAG